rnacentral:tRNA from 1 species
AAGGAAGGACAGAAAUCAGUAAGUACUGCUAAUACUUAUGCACCGAAGUUAGAAUCCUCGGCUUCUUUA